UAUCCCUCUCCUUUCUCUCCCAACAGCCUGGAGCAGUUAUUGUGCCAAGUACAUCCAUGUGAGGCAGGGGGGACCUGCUGGAAUCUCCAUGCUCCUGGCUGGAUACUGCCUGCUCAGCUAUGGCUGGAACUAUCAGCACUUCAAGCAGCACCGCUGGCGAAAAUACCACUGAAGGAGCUGGAGCAGCACUCAGGGAACAGCCCCAGCCCUUGGGGAGGCAGCAGAGCAGCCAGGAGCAGGAUCCCAGCAGGAAUUCCCAGCAGCAGGGGCCUGGCUGGGGCUGGAGCUGAGGAGGAGCCGCUUUGCAGGUCGGCUUGUGCGGCAGAGAGGUGACAGUGACAGCCUGUGGUCACCCCUCCGUGGGUCAGGCAGCUUUUAGUAGUGAAAUGAGAAAGCUUUAGAGGCACCUGAGAGAUCUGUGGGGGCAGGAGAGCUCCUGGAAGCUGCAGAAUCCCAGAUCCCUUGUUUGGGACAGGGGACAGCACCUUGUCCUGAGCUGUCAUUAGAGAUUCAUGUCAUUAGAGAUGAAUUGACAAUUCUGCUGUAGCUGAGUGGACUUCAACCCCAAGAACCAUUCCCUUCAAAUUCAGAGCUAUGCCUGGCCCAGCCCAGUUUGUACUCACCCCUUGUACUGGGAGGGCUGGCCAGGACCUGUGUGAAGGCACUGGAGCAGCAGCUCAGACCACAACACCCUAACUCUGGGGAAGAAAACUCCAUGGGAUGAGCUGUUGUGCCCAAAGGGCAAAACCCGUGCCUGCAGCAGGCAAACCAGGACAGUCAGGAGUGCUAGUUGGAGCCUGCCAUUCCCAGACAUGUCUGGGAAAGGGUUGCUCAUGUUCCAGGCAUGAAGGGCAAAGAAAAAAAGAGCCAAGAAUUAAAAAAGUCUGAGCUCUUUUAUUCUGCAGAGUGCAGUAGUGCUGUGACAGAGGUGUUGCACCAAAAACUCUCUCACCAGCAAUAAAAACCUGUGUGGAUUUUC